CCUACGGGUGGCAGCAGUGAGGAAUAUUGGUCAAUGGACGCAAGUCUGAACCAGCCAUGCCGCGUGCAGGAAGACGGCCCUCUGAGUUUUAAAUUGUUUUUGUACGGGCGUAAACGCAGAUACGCGUAUCUGUCUGAAAGUAUCGUACGAAUAAGGAUGGGCUAACUCCGUUCCAGAAGCCGCGGUAAUACGGAGGAUUCAAGCGUUAUCCGGAUUUAUUGGGUUUAAAGGGUGCGUAGGCGGUAGGAUAAGUUAGAGGUGAAAUCCAGAGGCUCAACUUCGGAAUUGCAUCUGAUACUGUUCGGCUAGAGAGUAGUUGCGGUAGGCGGAAUGUAUGGUGUAGCGGUGAAAUGCUUAGAGAUUAGACAGAACACCGAUUGCGAAGGCAGCUUACCAAGCUACUUCUGACGUUGAGGCACGAAAGCGUGGGGAGCAAACAGGAUUAGAUACCCGGGUAGUC
rnacentral:rRNA from 1 species